rnacentral:rRNA from 1 species
UACGUAGGGGGCAAGCGUUGUCCGGAUUUAUUGGGCGUAAAGAGCGUGUAGGCGGCCUUACAGGUCAGCUGUGAAAACUGGAGGCUCAACCUCCAGACGUCGACGGAAACCGUAUGGCUAGAGUCCGGAAGAGGAGAGUGGAAUUCCUGGUGUAGCGGUGAAAUGCGCAGAUAUCAGGAAGAACACCAAUGGCGAAGGCAGCUCUCUGGGACGGUACUGACGCUGAGACGCGAAAGCGUGGGGAGCAAACAGG